rnacentral:rRNA from 1 species
CCUUGCCAGCCCGCUCAGAACUUAAGGAAUGACGGGGCCCGCACAAGCGGAGGAGCAUGUGGUUUAAUUCGAUGAUACGCGAGGAACCUUACCUGGGCUCGAACGUAAGAUGACUGUAGGUGAAAAGCUUUACAUCUCUUCGGAGCAUUUUACGAGGUGCUGCAUGGUUGUCGUCAGCUCGUGCCGUGAGGUGUCGGGUUAAGUCCCAUAACGAGCGCAACCCCUAUUGCUAGUUACCAUCAUUAAGUUGGGGACUCUAGCGAGACUGCCAGUGAUAAACUGGAGGAAGGUGGGGAUGACGUCAAAUCAUCAUGCCCCUUAUGACCUGGGCUACAAACGUGAUACAAUGGCUGGAACAAAGGGAUGCGAAGCAGUGAUGUGGAGCGAAACCCAUAAAAACAGUCUCAGUUCGGAUUGAAGUCUGCAACUCGACUUCAUGAAGUCGGAAUCGCUAGUAAUCGCGGAUCAGAACGCCGCGGUGAAUACGUUCUCGGGGUUU